ACCACAAAUGUUGGCAAGGACAUGAAAAAAAGGGAACCCAAGUCCACUGUUAGUGGGAAUGUAAAUUGAUGCAGCCACUGUGAAAAAUAGUAUGGAGGUUCCUUAAAAAAUUGAAAAUAUAAUUGCUGUUUGAAUGAAUGCCACUGCUGGGUAUAUAGCCAAAGAAAAUGAAAACACUAAUUCAAAAAGAUAUAUACUUCCCCCCCGCCCUGCAGUGUUCAGGCAGCUUUAUUUACAAUAGUCAAGUUAUGUAAGCUACCUAAGUAUCCAUCAGUAGAUGAAUAGAUAAAGAAGAUGUGGUGUAUUUAUACAAUGGAAUAUUAACCAUAAAAAAAGAAUGAAAUUUUGCAACAAUAUGGUUGGACCUGGAGGGCAUUAGACUUAGUGAAAUAAAUUAGAGAAAUACAAAUACUAUAUGAUAUCCUUUAAAUGUGGAAUCUAAAAAAUAAAUGAAUAUGACAAAAUGGAAACAGAAUCAGAUUUAGAGAAUAAACUAGUGAUUUCCGUCUGGGAGAGGGAAGUGGACAGAGUCAAGGAAAGGAUAGGAAACCAAGAGGCACAAACUACUGUGUGUACUAUAGUAAGCUGUAUAUUGACCACUGUGUGUACUAUAAUAAGCUGUAUACUGACCACUGUGUAUACUAUAAAUAAACUGUAUAUUGUACAAUACAGGGGAUACAGCCAAUAUUUUAAAAUAACUCAAGUGGGAUAUGAUCUUUGAAAAUAUUGAAACACUGUGUCAUACAUCUGAAACCAGUAUUAUAAAUCAACUACACUUCAAUAAAAAAUAAAAUUUAAAAAGAACUAGAAUGGAAUCUGAUGUUCAACAGCAACUCUGAACCAGGGAGAUAGUAGGACAGAACUACCAAAAUCCUGAGAAAAGAUUAUUUCCAACCUAGAAUUCUAUACCUAUUCAUACUAUCGGUCAAAGAUAAAGGAAGAUAAAGUCCUAUUCAGGCAUGCAAUAUCUCAAAAGAUUUCCUCCCCUUAUCCUUUCUCCUCUUAAACUAAUGAGUAAACCAAGGGGGAAAAAAACAUGAGUUUCAGGAAAUGGGCUCCAACACCAUGAGGAAGAGAAGGGAAUUUCCAGGAGGGUAGGUAUUUAGCAGGUAUAGAAAAUGUCCAGUCCAAGGAGGAGCAAGAGAGUAGUGGGCUCCAGGAGGGAUGUCUCCAAGAAAAAAUAAAAAGGAAACUUAGAGAAUAUCAUAUAUGUUGUUUGAAUAUGUGGAGAAAAAGAAUUAUACUUUGAUGAAGCAUUUGGUGAAGCAUGUGGAAAACCAAGCAAAUAAAAAAUGUGAAAUAUUAACUUAAAAGUCAAAAGCUAUAAAGAAAGAAAAUAUAAUCAGAAUACACUGUUUCAAACAGUUGUGAAUGUUAUUUAUGUAUUGAUAAUGUAAGCCCUAAACAUUAAUUAAAACAUACUCAGUGGUGAAAGACUGAAAAUUUUUUCUCUAAGAUCAUGAACAGGACAGGAGUGCCCACCCUUACCAUUCCUAUUCAACAUAGCACUGGAAGACCUAGCCAGAGCAAUCAGGCAAGAAAAUGAGGAAAAAAUACAUACAAAUCACAAAGAAAGAAGUAAAAUUGCCUUUGUUUACAGAUAAUAUGACUUUAUUAAUAUAUAAAGAAAAUUCUAAAAACAUCAUCAAAAACACUGUUAGACUAAUCAAUGAAUUCAGUAAAGGUACAGGACACAAAGCAUUCAGAAAACAGUUGCAUUUCUCUAACAGCAAAAUAUCUGAAAAAGAAAUAAGACAGUCUCAUUCAUACUGGCAUUGAAAACAAUAAAAUACUUAGGAAUGAAUUUAAGGAGAUGAAAGCUCUGUAUACUGAAAAGUAGAAGACUGAUGAAAGACACAAACAAAUGGAAAUAUAUCCUGUGUUCAUGGAUCAGAAGAAUUAAUAUUGUUAAAAUAGCCUUAUUACCCAAAGCCAUCUAUAAAUUCAGUGCAUUCCCUGUCAACCUUUCAGUUAUAUUUUCCACAGAAAUAGAAAAAUUCUAAAAUUUGUAUCAUAAAAGAGCCCAAAUAGCCAAAGCAAUUGUAAGAAAGAAGAACACACCUGGAGGCAUUGUCUGUCCUGAUUUCAAACUGUACCACAAAACAGUAUGGGACUGGCAUAAAAAUAGACCCAUAGAUCAUUGGAAGAGAACCGAGAUCCUAGAGAGGGGAAAGGAUAAUCUCUUCAAUAAACAGUUCUGGGAAAACUGGAUAACAACAUGAAGAAUAAAAUUAAACCCCUGUAUUACACGGUUCACAAGAAUUAAUUCAAAAUGGUUUAAAGACUCAAACAUAAGAACUGAAGUCCCUAAACUCCUCUGAGAAAACAUAAGGGAAAAGCUCCUUUACAUCAGUCUUAGAAAUGAUUUUUCACAUAGGACGCCAAAAGCACAAGCUACAACAGCAAACAUUAGAUUACAUCAAACUAAAAAGUUCUACACAAUAAAAGAACCAAUCAACAAAAUGAAAAGACAGCUUAUGGAAUGGGAGAAUAUUUGCAAAUAUUUGUCUGAUAAGGAGUUAAUACCAAAAUAUAUAUAUAACUCCUAUAACUCCAUAGUAAAAAAAAAAAUUCAGUUAAAAAGGGGGCAGAGGAGCAGAACUUCCUUUCCAAAGAAGAUACAAAAAACAGGCACAUGACAAUGCUCGACAUCACUAAUCAUCAGGGAAUACAUAUCAAAACCACGAUUAGAUCCCACCUUAUAUCUGUUAGAAUGGCUGUCAUCAGAAGACAAGAGGUGACUAAUGUCGGCAAGGAUGUAGAGAAGAGAGAACCCUCCUUCACUGUGGGGUGGGGUAUGUAAAUUUGGUAUACAGCAAUUAUGGAAACUGACAGUUUGGAGGCUCCUCAGAAAAUUAAAAUCAGAACCAUAGGAUCCAACAAUCCCACUUCUUGGGUAUAUAUCGAAAGGAAAUGAAAAAAGAAUCUCAAAGAAAUGUCUUCACGCCUAUGUUCAUUGCAGCACUAUUCACAAUAGCCAAGAUACGGGAACAACCUCAGUGUCCAUAGAAGGGUGAAUAGAUGAAGAAGAUUUGGUGUAUAUAAUGGAAUAUCAUUUAGCCAUGAGAAAGAAGGACAUCGUGCCAGUUAAAACAACACGAAUGGACCUUGAGGGCAAUAUGCCAAGGGAUACGUCAUAGAAAAACAAAUAGGGAUGAUACCACUUAUAUGUCGAAUCUAAAAAAGCUGAACUAAUGGAAACAGGUAGAAUGGUGGUUGCCCGGGAGUUGGGUAGGGGAGAAGGGGAGGUACAGAUUAUGAGCACAAACUUCUAGUUAGAGGGUGAGUAGUUCUGGAGAUCUAACUACAGCAUGAUGAUUGUGGUUAACAAUACUGUGUUAUAUACUUGAAAGCUGCUAAAAGAAGAGACCUUAAAUGUUCUCGCCACAAAAAAAAGAAAUGGUUAAUUAUAUGAGGUGAUGGAGGCAUAUGCUAAAGCUAAGAUAGUAAUCAUUUUGCAAAAUAUAUGUGGAUCAAAUCAACACAUUGUACACCUUGGACUUACAUGCUGUUACAUGUCGAUUAUAUCUCAGUAAAACUGGGGAGAAAUCUUUUAGAACUUCAGUAUAAUUAUACUGAGAAAAAGAGGAGUGGGAAAAUGAGUGUACUUGGGAGUUUAAGCUGCCAAGGAGAAUGAAACCUGUGUCUUCCAUAGUGGGAAGUCAGUAGACAUUCUCUGAAAAUGAAAAAAAUGAAGAAAUUUCAGUGAGAACAAGUAAUUUAGGAGUGUGAAGGUGGGUUCCAGAAGAAACAGUUAAAAUACUGCCUCUAGGGAUAGACAAUUAGUGGUGGAGAAAAAAAACCUGCUGUUUUUCCUGUUACACCUAGCAGUGCUAUUUGACUUUUUAAGAUAUUUCACAUAUUUGAUAAAAAUAAACUAAUUUAAAAUAAAGUGCAUACUGACUUAUUUUUAGCACUGCUAUUUCAUUUAUUAAAGAGUUCUGCAUUCUUUUUGACUGUGUGCUAAUUUUGAAACCUCAAGGUUUUCCCUUAUCUCAGGGCUUAUAAUUCUUUAAUCUCAUGUUCCAGUCUGCAUGCAGGGUGAGAAUUAAAUAUAGCCAGAGUACAUUCAUCUCUGUCAUUCAUUUAAGCAGUAAGAGGGAUGAAGAGGUCAUCCAGGGAGCAUCAAGUACCAGGACAUGGGCAUCCUGUGUAAUUUCCCUUUUACCACCAUUUGCUUGAAUUUCAGAGAGGUCAACUGAGAGCCAUAUAGAUGGGGCUGGGGUGGAUAGGAAGGAGCCAGCACUGCUCAGUUUGGAGAAGGGACGCUUGAGUCAUGACUUCAUCGCUUGCAAGUAUACAGAAGAUGGUUUCCAGCUGCUUUGGAUUUGCUGAGAAGGAAGUGAGGAAGUGGAUUCACAGCUGAGCCUAAGGAAUUUCGGUAGGAGACACAUGAGUUUGCUAACCCUGACAAGAGCUGCUGAGGACCUGUUCUUCAUAACAAAGAGUUUCCUUUUUUCUUUGGGAUUGGAUAAAUGAACCUCACAGAUUCCCCCACAGUCCUCCCAACCCCAUCUUGCAGUGAUUCUGCUGAAAGAAAUGUCAGGAAAGGACAAGGUCUCUUCAGGGACACACCGCGCUCCUUUGCCCAGGACCAGACUGACAGUGGAGGCCAAGCAUCCUGUGCAGCCUGAUCCUUGUCCAGGAGCCGCAACACAGAAUGAAUUAUCCAUGCUGUUGAAGAGUUCUCAGUGAGCACUCGACUGGAUCUAACCAGAGCUAAAACGUGCCUCCAAGAUUCCUAAGUUUCUGGACCAAGCCCAAAAGCGUCUGGAGCCAUCACCGGGAUGUGACACGGAUGAGCGCCAUCCAGACAGUGCAGACACCACCCUGCCUUAAGUGGUCAGUCCCAUCCCUGCAAAACCUCAGAAAACGGAUGCCUAAGCCCAAACUUCAGUACCUGGAGGACCAGCCCUUGAGGCCUGUGAAUCACUUGUUUCCAUAUCAGAUGGAGAGCAAGCGCUGCCCUCGUCUACCUGCACCCCUGCUUGAGAACCAGUCAACUCUAAGGCACAUGGAUCUCAAUGGGAAAGUAAACAGUCUUCCUCUUAAAAAAAAAAAAAAAAAAAGACUGAGGAAAGGGGAAAAAAAGUGUCAGAUUUUCCUGGCUGUGCUACUUUUCUAGUUUAUCAGAUCUAAGUGAAUUCAUAUCAGCAAUAGCUUCCCUGGCAUUUCCUAUUUUCAACAAUAUUGAGUUGAAACACACAUCGCCCUUUUUGUGGGACAACUGGAUUGCAGCUACUCUGCUCCCAAUAUUACUUUCAUGUUCUCUCUUCCUUCCUGGAUGAUUUAAAUAACAGCAAAAUGUGGCCGUUGCCAGCUCUUGAAACAUUUCUGGCUGCAUUCCUUUUCCUCCCUGAAAACCUAGGCUCUGGUCAAAACCUUAAUUCAUAGUGACUUAUUAGCAACCAGAGCGAGCUGUAGAAUAAUCCAUUAUGAAGAAAGCAAGCCUCCCUUGGAGCUUCUCGGAAAGGGCCUCACUUUCUAGAACUGGCCUCAGUGGGCCAGGGAAGGGGUGACAUCAGCCCUCCCGCCUUUGUUUUAUCUUUCAGGUGUGGGGGAGGGGGAAGAAAGAUGUGCCCAUUCUGUUCUUUUUCACUUUUUUUCCCUGCCUGUGAAACUGACUUUUGCAUUCUUGAGAGCUGUGUCAUGACAAGUCCCGUAAAUGAUUCACA